CCUACGGGCGGCAGCAGUGAGGAAUAUUGGUCAAUGGACGAGAGUCUGAACCAGCCAAGUAGCGUGAAGGAUGACUGCCCUAUGGGUUGUAAACUUCUUUUAUAUGGGAAUAAAACGUUCCACGUGUGGGAUUUUGUAUGUACCAUAUGAAUAAGGAUCGGCUAACUCCGUGCCAGCAGCCGCGGUAAUACGGAGGAUCCGAGCGUUAUCCGGAUUUAUUGGGUUUAAAGGGAGCGUAGGUGGAUUGUUAAGUCAGUUGUGAAAGUUUGAGGCUCAACCGUAAAAUUGCAGUUGAAACUGGCAGUCUUGAGUACAGUAGAGGUGGGCGGAAUUCGUGGUGUAGCGGUGAAAUGCUUAGAUAUCACGAAGAACUCCGAUUGCGAAGGCAGUUCACUGGACUGCAACUGACACUGAGGCUCGAAAGUGUGGGUAUCAAACAGGAUUAGAUACCCUUGUAGUC
rnacentral:rRNA from 1 species